rnacentral:rRNA from 1 species
UACGUAGGAUGCGAGCGUUAAUCGGAAUUACUGGGCGUAAAGCGUGCGCAGGCGGUUUUGUAAGCCAGAUGUGAAAUCCCCGGGCUUAACCUGGGAAUGGCAUUUGGGACUGCAAAGCUUGAGUGCGGCAGAGGGGACUGGAAUUCCUGGUGUAGCAGUGAAAUGCGUAGAGAUCAGGAGGAAUACCGAUGGCGAAGGCAGGUCCCUGGGCUGACACUGACGCUCAUGCACGAAAGCGUGGGGAGCAAACAGG